UGAUGGCAGUGAUGAUUUAAUUGUUCACCUGAAAUACAAAUAUGAGGGUGUACAGUCACUACCUCAUCUGAUGCCAUCU
rnacentral:snoRNA from 12 species